rnacentral:rRNA from 1 species
AUGGUGAGCUGGCCCGACAUUUGCAAACCCAAAGACCAGGGUGGCCUUGGGAUCCUGUCAUCUCGUCGCAUGAACAUCGCUCUCCUGUCCCGCUGGCUGUGGUGCAUCGCCAAUGGGGAGGGAGGCCUCUGGCUUACCAUCAUCCAUAAUAAAUACCUUAGGGGCCAACCUCUGGUCUUUUGCUAGUGUACGGGUGGAUCCCAGUUCUGGCAGUCCGUGAUCCAGCUUCUGCCCGUCCUCCGCAUCGAUACGUCCAUCUUUGUUGGCUCCGGGUCCUCGACCCUGUUCUGGUUCGACCGAUGGCUAGGAGACUCCUCCUUGGCUGUGCGAUUCCCAGAUCUCUUUGCCCUUACGGUGGACCCUCGGGUCUCUGUCGAGACGGCCCUUAUUGACUUAGGGCGUCUUGCUUUCCGUCGCCCCUUCUCCAAUACGUGGCCCUUUAUGCCGAUGAACGUCGAGGAGGACCAGGAUGCCAUUUCUUGGCACCUUGAGCCGUCUGGCCGCUUCUCCAUGAAGUCCUUGUACACUAGUAGAAAACAUGGCAUUUGUCCCGGUUCGUAA